GUUUUGAUUGAUCUAUGUCUCGCUCUUACCUACGGACAGGAGGACAGUAGUUUUCCUAAAAACUCAUUUCGUCUCUGGUAAUCAGUGCAAUACGAUCUCAGUACAACAGAAAGGCAGUGAACACGGAGUUUAAGCUUCGAAAGUCAAGGUGUCAUGGGAUCUUGGAUGCUGGUUUGGAUUCUGUGUACCACCACAGUCAUUCUGAUGCCUGUGUCUCUUCAUGGAGCAAUAUCGGUACACUUUAAGACCGGACGACCUCUGUAUGUUGCGCUUGGCCAAACUCUUGUUCUGGAAGUCACAUUCAAGAAAAAUCCAGACGACGUGAUAGACAUGGUGACGUGGGACCGAGAGAGAGGGAAGGAGAAUAUCAGACUGUCAGGUGCUCCUGGAAGCAGAAUAUCUUUGGAGAAAGGAGAUACACUUCUGCGGAUCACUGAUGUUGCAGAAGGAGACUUUGGGAACUAUAAGGUCACCGUUACAGACAGUAAUGGAUAUCAGCAGCAUGACUCUGUAGAAGUGCGAAAGAUAGAGGAACCUCCAAAAGCGUCGAUUGCACUUGUGCUGGAGUGUGUGGUGGAUAAGCAUGACAUGGCGCAGUGGGACAGCCCUCAGUUUUCAUGGCUGGUUGAUGGAGUUGCAGUAACCAAUCAAACCGCACUGUUAGGAGGUGGCAGUAGACUCGAUAUCUCUCAGGUUAAGGGAGUUAACUAUACCUGCGUCAUCAAGAGCAGCCUGGGGACACGGUUCACAACACAUUAUGAAGAAGAACCAAAAGAAUCUAGGAAUCCCUGUUGUUCAGGACUGAUUGCACUUGCAGUUGUAGUUACGGUAGCACUGUGUGUGGCCGGGUUUAUUUUCCUGAAGAGAUACAAAACACUUGACGUCAUCUAGCCAAAGAAGUUGGUCAUGACUGACUGAAUCCACAUACAACAUUUUAUUUAUUUAUUUACAUGUCAAUAUACUUAUAAACAUUUUAUUUUGAUAAUUUUGUGAUUAUUUAUUUUACUUGCACUACAUCAUUGGAAUCAUAUCAUCUGUUUUGUUCCUCCUUUUAACUUUUAUAACUUUUAUUUACUUACUGUUACUGUACUUGAAAAUUGUGAAUUUAUGUUGUGACUUUCUUAAAAAAAAUGUUCUCAGGGAAAAAUAUUUACUUGUUCUUCUGCAGUUGUGUUGUUCAGUCAUAAACUGUAGAUUUGAUUCAUUUUAACAGAAUAAUGCUUGUGUUCAUUGUACAGAAUGACUCGUACUGUUUGUUUGGCUAAAUCUUUAAGAAGCUAGACAUAAAGUUGCUUUGUAUGGAUCUAUGCUUCGAGAUAGCAGAAGUUGUUCUGUUUGCAGAAUGAAUAUCAGUACUGUUCAUUUUUCUGAAGUCUACCUCACUUGUUCUUAUUAUUCUGCUGUUGAAGCAUUUACAAAUACUGAUGUUUGAGUUAGUAAUGUAAAGUUGCUUCAACAGUUCAUACAGAGGCCCUAAAAUGUAUUUGUUCACUUACAGACUUAAAAAUGUAUUUGCACUAGAUAACAGGAAAUAAAAUCAAUGCAAGUGUUAUCUGAUGCUGUUCAAAUGCUGAAAUGUGAAUUCAUUCAGAUUCAAAUGUGAAUAUGAUUUUAUUUGGAUGCAUGAAAUCACUUCUUAAAGGGAUAGUUCACACAAAAAUAAAAAUUCUGUCAUCAUUUACUCACCCUCAAGUUGUUCCAAACCUGUUUAAAUGUAUUUGUUCUGCUGAACACAAAUGAAGAUAUUUGGAGGAAUGUUUGUAGCCAAGCAGAUCUGAGUAAAUAAUGACAAAAUUUUAAUUUUGGAGUGAACUAACCCUUUAAUUAACACUAGUAAAACUGUAAGUUGAGAUAUCUCAAGAUAGAAUUAUGCCUAGCACAAAAUAAAUUAUAGAUAUCUUUAAUUGCAGUCUCUACUAGUCAAAACUAAUUUGUAAAUAUCAGAAAAAAUUGGAAGAAUAUGACUAGUCAUAAUCACGUAGAUAUCUUGCAUCCACUUACAACUACACUGUAAAAAAUAUUUCGUAGUUUUUACAAAAUAAUUUUGGCAGCUGUGGUUGCCAGAAUAAUUUUGUAAAAAAUACAGAAAAACUGUAAACACAUUUACAGAACAAACUGUCAAUUUUACAGUAUAAAACUGUAAUUUACAAACAAGAAAAUUUGAAUGUAAACAAGUAAAUUCAACAACGCACACUACUACUAAAAUCUGUUUUGUACCUUUAACAUAUACUGACAACCACCAUAAUAAUGCAGGUGGUAAAAGAGAAAGCCACAUGAAGAAUCAGAGUUUAUCACAAGUAGCUUUUCCACGAGCUGAAGUAUAUACUAAUGUAAAGAGGGUGCAAAGAGUCAUUCACGCAAACGCAAAACACCAUCAUGGUAACCCACAACACUUACAUAAUGCAAUAAACAUUCAUUAAACAACAGAAGAUGUAAUAUAAAACCCUAAUGUACAUAACUGAUAACAAAAACUAUUAAGAAACAUGAUUUUUUAAACAAAAUACUUUCAAAUGUGGAGUGUCACACAGGGAAUUGUGGGAAUAUCAGUUUACAGUUUUUGACUGUAAAUUAUACAUUGAUUUGUUAUUUUUUACUUCUAAAAAUUGUAAAAUUUACAGCAUUUUACUGUGAAAAUUACAUAAAAUGUCUGGUAAGAGCUUUUACAGUUUUUUCCCUGUAUAUAGUACGGGAACUUACUGUUAACCUAUUUACAAUUUGUUUCCGUAGCAUUUUUACAAUAUUUCACUGUUAAAAUCACAUUCAUUUUUUACAAUGUAGUCAAAAUUACAGAAUUGAUAUCUGGAAUUGUAAUUUUGACUAGUGAAAACUAAAUUAGGAGUAGUAGAGCCAGGGGCAUUUAAUGCUAAAACGGCUUGCCUUCUCCUUUCAUCUGCUCAACUGGUGUGAUUUUUAUGUAGGUCUAGUAAUAAAUCAAAGAACUUUUUGUAAAUCGGGGGCGAAACAGCGAUUGUGUUUAUUUCUACAUUAUUUUAUUUUCAACAUUAACAAAUACGCUUAUUUCACUGUUUCUCAGGUGUUGUGAUGUCAGGGGAGGCGUCCGCAUGUAAUUCAGAAAGUGAAAGCGACGCGUCGACCUGUUGCGAAACCACACACGAAAACAAAAAACUACUUAUUGAGUCUAUAUAUAACAACUUUAAUCUCUCAUUUUUAUUCAGUCCAUAGUUGUAAUGAACUCAGGUUCUAUCGUUGUGCCUGAUCGCUAAAUUGUAGCCUGUUAAAACUCAUUUUGUUUUUGGUAAUAAGGGUAGCCGAAUGCGAUCUCAGUACAACAGAAAGACAUUAAACACGGAGUUUAAACUUCGAAAGUCAAGGUGUCAUGGAGUCAUGGAUACUGCUUUGGAUUCUGUGUACCACAGUCACUCUGAUGCCUGUGUGUCUUCAUGGAGCAAUAUCGGUACACUUUAAGACUGGACGACCUCUGUAUGUUGCGCUUGGCCAAACUCUUGUUCUGGAAGUCACAUUCGAGAAAGAUCCAGACGACGUGAUAGACAUGGUGACGUGGGACCAAGAGAGAGGGAAGGAGAAUAUCAGACUGUCAGGUGCUCCUGGAAGCAGAAUAUCUUUGGAGAAAGGAGAUGCACUUCUGCGGAUCACUGAUGUUGCAGAAGGAGACUUUGGGAACUAUAAGGUCACCGUUACAGACAGUAAUGGAUAUCAGCAGCAUGACUCUGUAGAAGUGCGAAAGAUAGAGGAACCUCCAAAGGCGUCGAUUGCACGUGUUGUGCUGGAGUGUGUGGUGGAUAAGCAUGACAUGGCGCAGUGGGACAGCCCUCAGUUUUCAUGGCUGGUUGAUGGAGUUGCAGUAACCAAUCAAACCGCACUGUUAGGAGGUGGCAGUAGACUCGAAAUCUCUCAGGUUAAGGGAGUUAACUAUACCUGCAUCAUCAAGAGCAGCCUGGGGACACGAUUCACAACACAUUAUGAAGAAGAACCAAAAGAUGAACGAAGUUCUUACGGGUGUGGAACAACAUGAGGAAUCUAGGAAUCCCUGUUGUUCAGGACUGAUUGCACUUGCAGUUGCAGUAGCACUGUGUGUGGCCGGGUUUAUUUUCCUGAAGAGAUACAAAAAACGUGACGUCAUCUAGCCAAAGAAGUUGGUCAUGACUGACUGAAUCCACAUACAACAUUUUAUUUAUUUAUUUGCAUGUCAAUAUACUUAUAAACAUUUUAUUUUGAUAAUUUAGUUAUUAUUUUACUUAUACUAUAUCACUGGGAUCGUUUCAUUCAGAGCUUUUUUCCUCCUUUAAACCUUUAUUAGAAAUGCCUCACCAUGAUAAAUAUCAUACUGGCUGUGAUUCCUGUUUACUCACUGUUACUGUACUUGAAAAACUGUACAUUUAUGUUGUGACUCUGAAUAUAUGCAACUCUCAAACAGUUUUCAGCUUCUAGGCUUAAAUAUUCUCAAGGAAAAAUGUUUUCUUGAUCUGGUAAAAAUAUUUACUUGUUCUUCAGCAGUUGUGUUGUUCAGUCAUAAACUGUAGAUUUGAUUCAUUUUAACAGAAGAAUGCUUGUGUUCAUUGUACAGAAUGACUCGUACUGUUCGUUUGGCUAAAUCUUUAAGGAGCUAGACAUAAAGUUGUUUUGUUUACAGAAUGAAUAUCAGUACUGUUCAUUUGCUGAAGUCUACCUCAGUUGUUCUUAUUAUUCUGCUGUUGAAGCAUUUACAAAUACUGAUGUUCAAGUUUGAGAACAAAAGAGAUGGGAGGGUUAGACCAUAAGGAAGAUCUGCUUGUUGAAACAGAGAAUAGGGGCUUUACUCCACAGGAAAAGGAAGAAGGAAACGGCUCACUUUGCAAACACGGUGACGCCUAAAGACCUCUGACUUGGUGAACUCCACAGACCGAGCAUACGAGUUCACAGAAUCACAUCAGUGCCGUUCUCUCACUAACAACAUGUUCCCAGCUCUGCUCUAGUAAUUUUAUGGGACAGAAGUUUCUGGAAACAAGCGUCUCUUUCAGGAAGUUAUAAGAGGCGACAUGGACCCACGACUACAGCCGUUCACUCGGACCCUCCUGCUUUUACACGUCUGCUGGCUCUGGAGUGUCCAGUGUUUGUCCGUCCGCUUCACAAACCAGCAGUCUGUGUAUGUGAUCAAAGGCCAGAAUCUGAUCCUGCAGGCUCAGAUUGAGCUGCUGAAGGGUGAACAUGUGGCUAAAGUGACAUGGGACCACAGUGCAGAGACUUCUGGGAAGAGUUCAACAGUGGCUGAGUUUCCUCAUACAAUCUCUGAUGGGAGAGUGACUGUGGAGCAGCAGGGAGCCAUGCUGAAGAUCAGGGAUUAUCAGGCAGCGGACGGCGGCGUUUAUACUGUCACAGUUACUGACCAAUCAGGACAGAGACACUCUGCACAGCAAACUGUUCAGGAGUAUCUGGCGAUAAAUCAUGUGUCAGUGAUGGUGAAUGUGUCUCACUCCGUUCUUCACUGUAUGGAGGCCUGGGGAACUGAACCCUCCUUCUCUUGGCUUCAUGAGAGAGUGGCCGUGACGGAGAAAGUGGGCCACGUUUCGGCAGAUGGAACGUCUCUGUUCGUCUCCGGCACCUUCUGCGGACACUUCACCUGCGUGGUGAGCAACAAACUGGGACACAGUUCAGCCACAUACACCACAGAGCCGUGUGAAAGCACAAACAGUAGCACGAGUGCUAUCAUUGUGUUUCUCCUGCUGCUGGUGUUGCUCAUAGCUUCAUCUCUGGCUUUUCUACUGUGGAGGAGACACAGGCAUGUACAGAACAGAAGGGAGAGACUGAGAGAGCCGUAUGAAGAGGAUCUGUGAGCGCCGGGACCGACUCAAACAAACACUGACCAAAGCUGAUGGACCGCCAGUCACUUGAAGCUUUCAGAAUUAUACUUUAUUGAUCCAUGCUUUAGACGGUUUUGUAUUAUAUUAGAUAUUUAUUGACAAACAUAUUUAUAUAACCAAAUUAGACUAGCAUCACCAGGAGGUUUGUUUCGUUACUACGCUCUUUUCUGAAAUACUUGAUUGUGCGACAUUCUGACAUUAAUAUGAUGGCCACUAACAUAUCAAUAAAUUGAGAAACAAACCAACUAACCUCUCAAAACAUCACAGAAUUCAUAAGUACCAUAAUACUUAUUGAUGUCUGUGCUGUUGAUUUCCCUCCAAAAUGAUGCCACUUCCUGUUUUGUCUGAAACAAUCUGAUUGGUGAAACACUUGAAUGUAUUAUCAUAUAUAUUUUGGUUUUGGUUUUUAUACACUUUAUAUUUUUAAGCCUUUUUUAAGUCCAUCUUAAUGUAAAAUAUUACAUAAUACGGUAAAAUGUCAAAUAGUUAUCAUGAAGAAAGACAUUCUGGUAAAAUAAUAAAAAAUGUAAUAAAAAAUUGGGUUAGGAUUGUUCUUAUAUUUAUUUUUUAAAGUUAUUUGUAUGAACAUUUUAUAUUAAAAAUGUAUAUAUAUAUAGCCUAUAUAUAUAUAUGUGUGUGUGUGUGUGUGUGUGUGUAAUUGUGCACUUUAUCACAUAAAAUCUUCUCAAAUUAAUGUCUAUUUAUUUAAUUGGUAAAUAGCCAUAUAAAAUAUUAAGUCUACACACAUUUCUGUUUUCAGUUCCCAAUUUUGUCUCAUAUGUUUAUUUCUGUGCUGGAUAUCAGAUAUUUCAGAUGUGAUUGGUCACUUUUUCUUAAAACUAAAGUUUUGACCACAAUAAUCUCAAGUCACAAGUGAAUACUGAAGACUAGACGACUUUAACCUUGAUAUUUCAUUACAGAUGACAAGUGGUGAGUUCUUCUGGACAGUAAUCAGUCUAAACUACAGCAGCAUGACAUUUGCAUAAUGAGCUCUUUUGUAUGCCAUAAUUAUGAGGUCAAGUUUACAAAUGGGAAAGACGUGUAAAGAAUCGUUUUAGAUCAGUUUUCUCUCUCAUUCCUGCUCUUAAUAAUCCGCUUUUAUCAUAUAUCUUGUUCUUGUUGUUAGCCUAAACUUGCCUUUUGUUUAUGUUUUAUAUGGAAAGCUGUACUAGCAUGUUAACGGGUCUUUUCUAGCUUAUUGCUAACAUGAAGAGCGUAAAAUGUCAAACAGUCCCGGAGGAGCAUUAAUCCAGCUUUGAGAUUCCUCCAGAGAGGCAAAAGCUCUCCCAAACACCGCUGGAAGUUUGCAUUCAGCCAAUUAGCGCUAGAAUCUGAUACAGAAAUCACCGUGUUUUCGCGUCCACACACUGACCCUGUCAGACGGCGAUGAGAUCAGGGUGGAGCCGCGGAGCUCCAUCUGUCAUGGCGGAGAAAUUCCGCCGGUGCUCGUGAAGAGGACGACAGCUGACACAAAACAGAUAAGAGAGCAUCGCGAUGCAUCACACAUAACAGGCCCUCCACUGACCUUAAAGGGACACUCGCGAGAUAUGAUGGACUGAAUGAACACGCCACUUCUUCAUAAGCGUCUGGCUCACUUCAUCCAUCACUGCGACAGGAUUUUAAUACCUGCUGCUUUAGUUCAGACUUUUUCCUCAGUAUAUUGAGUGAUUUCUUCAAAUAGUUUUACUUAUGUAAUAUAAGUCUCUGGUGUCCCCAGAAUGUGUCUGUGAAGUUUCAGCUCAAAAUACCCCACAGAUCAUUUAUUAUAGCUUGUCAAAUUUGACCGUAUUUGGGUGUGAGCAAAAACACGCCGUUUUUGUGCGUGCCCCUUUAAAUGCAAAUGAGCUGCUGCUCCCGGCCCCCUUUCCAGAAGAGGGCGGAGCUUUAACAGCUCGCGCUUCGGUCGCUCAACAACAACAAAGCUGGAGAAUCUCACGCAGACAAAAUGAGGAUUGUCAGUAACGGUGUUCAGCCUUACAUUGUUCAAACCGGAGUCGACACUGAUGGAGAGACUCAGGAAGAAGUUACAACUUUUAGGACGUUUCUGAAUGGUUAGUGGAUAAAUUUAUGUAGUUGCUGUGGAGUUGAUUCAACUCAUCGACUAGCAUGUGCUGUCACGUUAAUCUUUUGUGCAAAACCCGUAUGGACGCCCACUAUACAUAGCGUACCUGUUUGCCAAACAGAGCCAUACACACCCGGCUAACGUUUAUGAUCGCUAUCAAAUGCUGUGAAUGGUCUAAUAUUGUAUCCAAAAUAUCGCUCAGACAGAAACGCUCCUUUUUUAGCAAUCGAGCUUGCCAGGGUCAACUUGCAGGCUAUCCAAGCUAACAAGACUCUAAAUAGUGUUCAGUGCCCGUCUGUGCAACCAACGACAGAACAGUUAGCAUGCUUUGCUCCAACUUUUGCCAUGGCGUUAGAACUGGUACACACGGAGUGUCUCAUUUCGAAGGCUGCGUCCUCCGGAGGUCGCAUUUGAAGGCUGCGUACGUCAUCGAGGCAGUCUCAUUUAAGAAAGAAAUUGCAGUAUUUUACAUCUCACAAGGAAUAAAUAAAUAGGAGGAAUUUUCUUAAAAAAGACAUCCUUGAUGAUGUAUGCAGCCUUCAAAUGCGACCUCUGGAGGACGCAGCCUCUGAAAUGAGACGCAGCUACAGUUGUCGCUUGCAAAAACAAAAUGGCGGCGCCGUGGGUGGAAACGUGCAGAUUAAGGUGCGGUAUUAUUAUAAUAAGAUCCCGUUCCUACGUCACUAGGGGAGUGAAAUCUGAGCAGCUCGUUUUUUCACAUGCUUGCAGAGAAAGGCUUGCCAAAACAAAGUUACUGGGUUGUCCUUUUUCACAUUCUCUGGGUUGGUAGAUGCACCUGGGGACCCGAUUAUAGCACUUAAACAUGGAAAAAGUCAGAUUUUCAUGAUAUGUACCCUUUAAACUUAAUUGUUUUUUUUGUUUGUUUUUUUAAAAUGUUGCCAGGCAACGAACUCAAAAUAAAGUCAAAGUGCUAAAAUUACUAAAACAGAAAUAAAAAUGGUAAUACUUUACAAUAAGGUUCCAUUAGUUUAGGUUAUUAAUAUGAACUAACAUUUGCUACAGUACUUAUUAAUCUUUGUUAACAUUAAUUAAUAAAAAUACAACUGUUCAUUGUUUGUUCAUGUUAGUUCAGGUUCAAUAACUAAUGUUACAACUUUUAUUUAUUAGAUACAACUUUUGAUUUUAAUCAUGUAUUAGUAAAUGUUGAGCUUAACAUUAACUGAGAUUAAUAAAUGCUUAUAUGUAAUAUUUUUCAUUGUUAGUUCAUGUUAACUAAUGUAGAUAACUAAAAUUAACAAACGAAACCUUAUUGUAAAGUGAUAUAAUAAAAAUAAUGCUAAAAAAUGAAAACUAAAAACGUAAAUUCAAAAUAUUAAUAAAUACUAUAUAAAAAAAAAAAAAUUGGGAAAAAAAAAAAAAAAAAACAUAACUAAAAAAAAAAUGUUGGGUUAAAAAUGGACAAACCCAGCAACUGGGUUGUUUUAACCCAGUGGUUGGGUUAAAUGUUUGCCUAACAUGCUGGGUAGUUUUAUUUAACUCAACUAUAGUUUAAAAAUGACUGUAUUUCUUGCUUAAAAUGAACCCAAAGUAUGUUGGAAAUGAACAUUUAUUAAUAAGUUUAAUGAAUAAUAAUGAAACAAUAAACAUUUAUUAAAUUGCUUAUUAUUAAACGUUCACCUUUUGAUUAUUAUUGUUUCCUCUAGUAAUUAUGUGUCUGAUGUUUAAUUUCCAAACUAUUUUGGGUUCAUUUUAAGCCAGACAUACAGUCAUCUUUAAACAAUAGUUGAGUUAAAUAAAACUGUCCAGCAGGUUGGUCAAACAUUUAACCCAAUCUCUGGGUUUGUCCAUUUUCAACCCAACUUGGGUUGUUUUUAACCCAGCAUUUUCAGAGUAAUCUAACCGAUUAUCUCAAAUAAAUUCUCUGUAUUCCACAAAGCAAAGCUCUUGACCUGACCUUCCAGUUAUAUUUUAAUGCAUCAUUGAUUCAUUAUUCAAUGCGAUUGCCAGAAGAUAAAAUGUUGCAAUACAAAAUUGGAUAGAAUAUGAAAAAAAUAAGUUAAAUAACUGGCAACACUCACUGAAUUAAACAUGCACAAAGUGAGAUCAUGUGAUCAUGUAGCAUGCUACUUUUUUUUAAAGAUAUUUGUUGCAUAAUGUGCACUGUUUUACACACACACAAGGUUGAUUUUAGUGCAGCAUUCAUUCUGAACAGCCAUUAUUUGAUCAAACAGCCAAGAGUUAAGACAUUUUACACAAAUGCAAAACAGCCAUUUUUAAAGUCUAAGCUGAUUGGACAUCAGAAAUGAUUGUCUUAAUGCUUAUUAAGUGUUUAUUUUGGUCCAUUCUGUUGACGUAGAAGAGGUGAAGCUCGUAUAAUCAUAAAUCAACAGACAUUACAUCCAAACCAUGACACAAAUCUCCAAUGCAACGGAUGAAAUGGACGAAGCCAAUAAAAACCAGGUCUGUGUUUCAAAAGCAAAGCUUUUUAUUGCAAGUAUUAGUGAAAGAUACACUCCAAACUGAAGCAAAGCAACACUAAAAGGCCAUUGAUCUACAAAGAGAGUAUUAUUAAACAAAGAAAGACAUUUCAAAGUAAAAGAAAGAUCCCUUGGUACAUUAGAGAGACUCUUUGCAAACACGGAGAGAGGAGAGACGGGAGGACAGAGCCACGGAGAUCCCGGAGAACACGGGGAAUAACAUGCCACAUCCCGACCCGCACGGAAAGGAACGGCAGAACUUUGGCUCUUUCUUAAGCAUCGAAACGAUCUAGUACCAAGAGACAAGAGACGUGAAAUGACAGGAACGGAGGAUGGACAAGACUCGCCGUACGCUUGCAUCGGAUGGUUCACAGUCUUUUUUUUUUUUUGGAAUGCUGGAGCUUUGCGUUGCAGUAAACCGUUUUGUAAACAUUUUUAGGAAAUCGACACGCGACGCCGUUCAGCGAUUUCAGAGCAACCUCGUCCGGAGCUCGAUGUCUCUGUCCUCCUGGAAAAUGACAACAUGACCAUUUGAAAUACAGACUCCGAAUCUCGAAGUGAUGAGAUUACUGCAGUUAGUGGUUUAAAAGAGAACCGAGAUGCCACACAGGAAGUUAGUAUGCUUCUCUACGCACAACUAAGGCGUUUGACAGACGUCUCAAGUCGAAUGGGAAAAACAAAAGAGUACAGUUAAGGCUGAGGCUCAUAUAUAUAUAUAUAUAUUUAUAUAUAUCUGAGUGGAAUGGGACCCCCUCUCUGGCACGAAGACAAUUGAACUCAAGCAAAUGAUGAAGGACAAAUAGCAUUAUCUGCUUCUCGACUCCACUUAAAGCACCGGACGCAUCAAACAUCCUUCCAGGGAAACGUGUAUGGCUAAGAGUUUAGCAGCUCUGGAUGAAAACAAUCAGCUUUUUAUCUUUUUGGAAUAACAAAGUCAGUGUGGUUCUCCGUCCCUUAAAGAGAUGAGAUGCAACGAGUGGGAUGCGACGAGCCUCUUUCGCUGGAGAGCUGAAGAAUGAGGUGGACGAUCUAGUCAAAGGGCAAGGAGGAAGUGAUGUCAUCCAACACUUCAGGCUUGUGCCGGCCCCGCCCACUCUGUGGUUGUGCUUGUGAGAAGAUGUCGAGGGCGUCCGACCCCCGACCCCCCGUAACUCUGGCCAACAAUGCGGAGACUCCAGCCGCGAAAGCACUCCCUCAAUAAAUACACCGUUAAAUAUUUCCCAUAUAUAUUUCCAAUAUAUUAAAAGAAAAACAAAACACAUUUAAAUAGGACAACAAAAUAAAAGGCUGGCUCAAUAAAAGAAGAAAAAAAAAAAAAAAGAUACGUGUUAUGAUUUAAAAACAACUCGUUUUCUUACAAUUAGACUUCUUACUCUAAAAUUGUUAAGGAUAUUGUUGUCAGGCAUUAGUCGAGCAAUAUACUGUAAUCAAAGUAAUAUCUGGCUGAAUCUCAAGAAAACAUAUCCACCCCCAAAUAUAUAUAUAUAUUUUACACAGAGGAAAUGAAGCCUAUUUUAACAUCCAAUAUUUCUUGCAUUAUUUUCACGACAAUUAAGCACAUUUUCCCCAAAGUUUUGAGCUGUUUUUUUUGGAAUUCCCAUCAUUCUCAAUGGUGAUGGAAUGAUAUUUGCUGCAUUAUAUUUAAUCAUUAAAUCAGCAUAAAUAAAAGGCAAUCCAACAUACUACCGUGAUGUAUGAACAUUUUAAUUAGGGCUGUCAAUUUGACGCGUUAAUUAGAUUAAUUAUUAAAUUUAAUGCACUUGCCCCGCCCCAGACCAAUGUAGGUCACCUGACAUUUCAUGCAGAUGACUGAUGACAAAUAUGAUUCAGAGCAACAACUCACUGCGUGAUGAAGCCUAUAGAAGGCAGUCAGAAAGUCCCUAAAAUUAAAGAUAUAGGGGCAAAUAUGCCCCUGUAUGUGUUUUUGUUACAUAUUUAGAUCAUAUGAGUUAAGUAAUAUCACACGAGUAACGAGUGCAAUAUUACACAAGUGCUGUUUUUGUCCCAUAGCCUAUAUAACGAGUGCAUAUGCAAUACUGAUUUUAUACAACAGUUCAGUAAAUAAGAAGUUAAUAUUGUGUUAUUUUAGACACAAUAUUGUCUAUUUUGUUCAAUUUUGCCAAUGAAAAUUUAAAGACAAAGCAGAACUGUUCAUGUCCGCGCAAUACACAGUUCCAUUUCUGAAUCUGCGUUUUGAUCGAACCGAGUGAAACCAAUGAUUCAGCAGACCAUUCGUAAAAGACUUGUUGAACUUGAAGCGGCGCUACACAGAGAGAAACCAUUUACUUCACUCCUGAAUAAAUCGAAUGAAUGAAUGAAUGAACGACUUCAUCAUUAAGACAUUUAUCACAUUUACCACCACCUACUGGCAGUUUUAGUUUCUUAUUUAGAGUCUAAUUUUAUUUUUAAAAUAAAUAAAUAAUUUCAUAUUUCCAUACGUGUAAAAAUUUCUAUGUUGAAUCAAAUAAAAUACUUAUUUCUGAAGCUACUUUCUGAUGCUUUACACAAUAAUGACUUCAAAUGAUCUUUUGGGGGUAAUUUCUCAGCCAAAAUUGAUGUGCAAUUAAAUUGCGAUUAAUUAGAUUAAUUAAUCGCCACAUAAUGUAAUUAAUUAGAUUAAAAAAUGUAUUCUCUUGACAACCCUAAUUUUAAUAUUCUAAUAAUUUUUUGCAUAAUAAGAACUUUGAGAGGGAGAAUGCAUUUAAUUGUUAUAAAAAUAUUGUCACAAUGUCAAAAACUAGGCUUCAUUUUCUAUAUAUUUUUCAAAAUAUAAUUGUAUAUUUUUUGUUUUGUGAUGUUUUUGUUUACACUAGAAAUUACAUUUUGCAUGACAAAAAUGAAGCAUAUUAUAGCAACCAAUACAAUUGUUGCAUUAUUUGCAUAACAAUUAAGCACAUUUCCCCCGAAGUUUUGAGCUGUUUUGUAAUUCCCAUAAUUCUCAAUAGUGAUAGAACGAUAUUUGCUGUAUUACAUUAAAUCAUUAAACCAGCAUAAAUGAAAAGCAAUGCAGCUAAUAUUACUGUGGUGUACAAAUACGUCACAAUUUUAAUAUAAUCAUGUUUUUUUUUUUUUUUUUUUUUUUUGAGAAUUUGGGGAGGGGGGAGUUUAUUUAAUUGUCACAAUGCAAAAAAUAGGCUUAAUUUUUGUCAUGCAAAAUAUAAUUUCUUAUACUGGUCUUGCGAUGUUGGCGUGAAAUGUGAGCAGGACAUGUUCUUUCAUGAGAUUCACCCAUUUGCAGUUUCUUUCACUAUAACAUUUGCAGCAUACCAAGGUAAGAGAGGUGCAGUGUUUUGAGAUCUACAUCGAGGUAUAUCCUCCUGGACCAACGGGCACCCAUGUGACAAAAUACAGGCCAUGGGGAUCAAAACAUAUACUGUAUUUACUGUAGGUUUAUAUGGGCCAUUGCACAUUGAGAGGGAUCGCUCAGUCACGGCAAAAAAAAACAAAAAAAAACAAAA